AUAUCAUUUGUAAACUGUUUGUAUGUCCAGCAUGCAUUUCCAAAGUCCACCAAUUUGCACUUCAGGUCAACUGAGGCCAGCAGUUUCUUCCUUGUGGAGUGGCUUUCCCUCUUUNNNNNCUAAAUCAUUGCUCUUCGUUCCAUCGGCAUCAGAUCCACUGUUUAUAUUGUCAGAACUAGUAGGCCGAUCUUCAGCUGAACCCACAUUUGUUUUAGCAUUAGCAGAUGACUCCUCUUUAGCAUAUUUUUCAGGAUCUGCAUCAGCUUCAGCAGAAACUUCCUUUUCCACACAACCCUGAGCUGCUCGCUUAGCCUUUCUUCGUAUCUUUUUCUUUU
rnacentral:misc_RNA from 1 species